rnacentral:rRNA from 1 species
AGUGAAAGACGGUCUUGCUGUCACUUAUAGAUGGACCCGCGCCGUAUUAGCUAGUUGGUGGGGUAACGGCCUACCAAGGCGACGAUACGUAGCCGACCUGAGAGGGUGAUCGGCCACACUGGAACUGAGACACGGUCCAGACUCCUACGGGAGGCAGCAGUAGGGAAUCUUCCGCAAUGGGCGAAAGCCUGACGGAGCAACGCCGCGUGAGUGAUGAAGGUCUUCGGAUCGUAAAGCUCUGUUGUUAGGGAAGAACAAAUGUGUAAGUAACUGUGCACAUCUUGACGGUACCUAACCAGAAAGCCACGGCUAACUACGUGCCAGCAGCCGCGGUAAUACGUAGGUGGCAAGCGUUAUCCGGAAUUAUUGGGCGUAAAGCGCGCGUAGGCGGUUUUUUAAGUCUGAUGUGAAAGCCCACGGCUCAACCGUGGAGGGUCAUUGGAAACUGGAAAACUUGAGUGCAGAAGAGGAAAGUGGAAUUCCAUGUGUAGCGGUGAAAUGCGCAGAGAUAUGGAGGAACACCAGUGGCGAAGGCGGCUUUCUGGUCUGCAACUGACGCUGAUGUGCGAAAGCGUGGGGAUCAAACAGGAUUAGAUACCCUGGUAGUCCACGCCGUAAACGAUGAGUGCUAAGUGUUAGGGGGUUUCCGCCCCUUAGUGCUGCAGCUAACGCAUUAAGCACUCCGCCUGGGGAGUACGGUCGCAAGACUGAAACUCAAAGGAAUUGACGGGGACCCGCACAAGCGGUGGAGCAUGUGGUUUAAUUCGAAGCAACGCGAAGAACCUUACCAAAUCUUGACAUCCUUUGACCGCUCUAGAGAUAGAGUUUUCCUCUUCGGAGGACAAAGUGACAGGUGGUGCAUGGUUGUCGUCAGCUCGUGUCGUGAGAUGUUGGGUUAAGUCCCGCAACGAGCGCAACCCUUGAACUUAGUUGCCAUCAUUCAGUUGGGCACUCUAAGUUGACUGCCGGUGACAAACCGGAGGAAGGUGGGGAUGACGUCAAAUCAUCAUGCCCCUUAUGAUUUGGGCUACACACGUGCUACAAUGGACAAUACAAAGGGCAGCGAAACCGCGAGGUCAAGCAAAUCCCAUAAAGUUGUUCUCAGUUCGGAUUGUAGUCUGCAACUCGACUACAUGAAGCUGGAAUCGCUAGUAAUCGUAGAUCAGCAUGCUACGGUGAAUACGUUCCCGGGUCUUGUACACACCGCCCGUCACACCACGAGAGUUUGUAACACCCGAAGCCGGUGGAGUAACCAUUUUGGAGCUAGCCGUCGAAGGUGGGACAAAUGAUUGGGGUGAAGUCGUAACAAGGUAGCCGUAUCGGAAGGUGCGGCUGGAU